AUUGAACGCUGGCGGCAGGCCUACCACAUGCAAGUCGAACGAGUGGCGGACGGGUGAGUAAUGUCUGGGAAACUGCCCGAUGGAGGGGGAUAACUACUGGAAACGGUAGCUAAUACCGCAUACCAUCAGAUGUUCCCAGAUGGGAUUCGCUUGUAGGGGGGGUAACGGCUCACCUAGGCGACGAUCCCUAGCUGGUCUGAGUGUAUGACCAGCCACACUGGAACUGAGACACGGUCCAGAAUCCUACGGUAGUGAGCAGUGGGGAUUAUUGCACAAUGGGCGCAAGCCUGAGGCAGCCAUGCCGCGUGUGUGAAGAAGGCCUUCGGGUUGUAAAGCACUGUCAGCGGGGAGGCGUUACCCGCAGAAGAAGCACCGGCUAACUCCGUGCCAGCAGCCGCGGUAAUAC
rnacentral:rRNA from 1 species